rnacentral:lncRNA from 1 species
GGUUUCCCAGGGCAUACGACAAAAUAUGGAGUGGAGUCUUGGAGUAGAGUCACGGAGUGGAGUCAUGGAGUGAGGUUUUGGAGUGACCUUGGAGUGAAAAAAUAGAAUAAGCAUAAAUGGCAGAUAUAAAAGAAAACGCCGGCGAAAGGCCAGAUUUUGAACUGAAAAGUGUUGUAUACAAAGGCGUUACAAUGUUUGAAUGUGAAAUAGAUGACAUAGAAAAACUGGAGAUUAGAGAGGACGAUAUAUGGGUUUGCGGUUUCUCAAGAUCUGUUGAGAACUACAAUGACACAGGAGCUCACAUAUUUAGUUCAAACACUGGACUUCGAAACGGCUAGAAAAGUUUAUCUAGACGAUAGGUUCCCGAUACUGGAGUUGAAAGAUGACAGGUUUCCAUAUUAUAGAGGUGUAAAGUUUGUCGAACAAAUGAAGGCGCCCCGGAUGAUUUAAUCACAUCUACAUGGUUUUAAUGUCUGAUUCUAUAGAAGAUCUUCAGCAAAGUUUGAAUAAGCUCCACACUUAUUGUGAACGAUGGAGAUUAAAGGUGAACACCGACAAAACUAAGGUGAUGGUAUUUAGACGGCGGUUAGAUUGAAAAGAAAUGAACAAUGGACAUAUAACGGAGAUCAGUUAGAAGUCGUUGACAACUUUAAUUAACUUGGCACAGUUUUUAACUCAAACAGGCGUUUUGAUUUAAAUACGCAAGUGAGGUAAAACGCUUAAAGCAAUGAACACUAUUAUUCAAUACCAAAUACUUUGAAUUUACACCUAAAACUAUGUGUGGUCUUUUUGAUUCAUUUUGUGUAUCCAUUCUGAAUUAUUCGGCAGAAGUAAAGACAUGUUUUGGCUACGUUUGGGAAUGUCCGCUAAAAAUAGAUGUGAACACUUUUAUACCAUAUUUUAAGCAACGGUUGAUUGAUAAUUUUGUACAAGACUGGAACAAAUUUGUUACCAAACAUUAACAAUAACAGGAACCAGCUAUUGAAUAAGUUUUUGUCUGACACAAACUAUGUUCCUGUGAAUAAGUUAGAAAGUUGUACAGGAGCAAAAUACUCAUUUGUAUCCU